UCCGGGCGGACGCCGAAUCCUGCCGCCGCCCGGAUGACCGGUCGACAGGAGUGGAUCGGCAGGAGUGGAGGACCCGAGCAAGACGGGUCGCCGGUACGGACAGUCCGUGCCGAGCAGCCCUUGGGGUGAAGCCGCGUCAGCGGCCGGGCAACUUCGCCAGCCCGAAUCCGACAGGUCAUCCUUCACAGGCGGCUGACGAAGGGUUG
rnacentral:sRNA from 2 species